GGGGCUGUAGCUCAGUGGUAAAGCACUUGCCUUGCACGUGUGAGGCAUUGGGUUCAAUCCUCAGCACCACCU
rfam:Ictidomys tridecemlineatus contig059083, whole genome shotgun sequence.